rnacentral:rRNA from 1 species
UACAGAGGGGGCAAGCGUUGUUCGGAAUUACUGGGCGUAAAGGGCGCGUAGGCGGCCUUCUAAGUCGAACGUGAAAUCCCCGGGCUCAACCCGGGAACUGCGUCCGAUACUGGAAGGCUUGAAUCCGGGAGAGGGAUGCGGAAUUCCAGGUGUAGCGGUGAAAUGCGUAGAUAUCAGGAGGAACACCGGUGGCGAAGGCGGGUCUCUGGGCCGAUACCGACGCUGAGGAGCGAAAGCGUGGGGAGCGAACAGG